rnacentral:tmRNA from 1 species
GGUAAAAAACCGGAAAAAAUAUAAAUGCAAACCAAGAUGACUUUGCAUACGAUGCUUCUUAUGCACUUGCUGCAUAAUUAGUGUCACCAGACCCUCAACUGCGGUUUUGGGUCGGUCCUCAGGGAGAGUGUCUGCGACUCUCUGGGGGCUCAACUCAGUGGACUAGUGGUUCCUACCGUCUCGAUAGGGAUUGCGAAACUUCAGAGACUGGCUUGGUAGGAUUCUGUGAAUGGAAGCUUAUUGGGUGAGAUUAAAUCAUUCACUAAACGUGUAGAAAGCAAAGGCUGACGCUUCUCGGACGGGGGUUCGACUCCCCCCACCUCCAUUC